rnacentral:lncRNA from 1 species
GUAUGGUCAGGCGGGAUCAUCUGCCAGCUGGAGGUCUCAGGACUGUGGAAAACCAUGUAUUCUAGCAGUAUAUUCUCUGGCCCAGCCGACCAUUACUAUCUUCAUAACGCUUAUGAAACUGUGCCUUCUCUAAGGCCAUUCACAGCUCUCGACUGGGCUAUCCUUCUUUGCCCUCUGUGCAUAAUUUCAUGCUUAUUUGAUCUCCCCAACCUCUGCACUGACCUGGCUUCUUGUGUUAUAUCCUAAACAACUUGUUCUUGGUUUCAUCCACUCAGUUCUCUGGAUCAGCCAGCUUCACACAGAAGUGACAGCACUUCUGAAAUCCCCUCUUAGUCACUUUUGUAACUUCAACCUCUGCUAAAGGUAGACACUCACUCUAUAGACCAGGCCUUGAGCUCAAAGAUCCACCUGCCUCUGCCCCCUGGCCCCCUCCACCUCCCCACGAGUGCUGGGACUAAAGGUGUGAACCACCACCACCACCACCACCACCACCCAGCUCCCUUGUUUUCUUAACAUUGAUCUAUUUAUAACUAGAGUGAGCAAAGCAGUGGUGGUGCACAACUUUAAUCCCACCACUCAGGAGGCAGAGGCAGGUGGAGCUCUGUGAUUUCGAGGCCAGCCUGGUCUACAAUAUGAGUUCCAGGACAGCCAGGGAUACACAGAGAAACCCUGCCUCAAAAAGAAAAUCAAAUAAACCCCCACAGAGUUACACCUUAUCCACUGCCCAAUGUCCUGCCAUUGGUUCCCAGACCAGAGCCUAGAGCCUGAAAUGGUCAUAUGCUCAGGCCCCAUUGCAAAGGACAGUGGGAAGGCACCUGCUUGUCUAACCUCUGGGGUGGCAAAGCUCGGGAGGGACUCCUCCUUAGGCAGCAGAGAUGCUCACUGGUGUGGGCUGUGCACACUCUGGUUUUCUUUCCUCUAAACUUGUGGGCCCCCAGGUUCAAGCUUUUAAUUUUCAGGUUUGCAUAUCUAUAAGUGCCUCCGUGUAUCUAUGUGGACCACAUGUAUGCCUGGUGCCUGUGGAAAUGAGAAGAAAGCAUUGAAUCCCCUCAAAAAGUGUUCUUAACCCCUUAGCCAUCUCUCCAGCCCCAGGUUCAAAUCCUGAGCACCGUCUGAACUAGUCCUGUGUCCAAGACAGUAUCAUCAAACCCUGCCCUUCCCGCCUUGUGCCAGCUCGCGCUUUUUCUUACAUCUGUAUGUUGAUGCUUAGCAGGUUCCUUGAAUGCUUGGUUUAUGUGCCUGGCUGGAGGAGACACCCAUGGCCUUGCAGAGGGAGCGUUCUGGUGGGAAAGCAGACACAACCCACCCUAGGCCCGUGGUUUCCCUGCAAGAAGCCCAGUGGCUUUCUGGAGGACACUUUUCCUGGAGGAAGUGACUCAAGCAUAAGCCAGGCUCUAUGGAAUGUUGGGUGAGCUGCUUGAGGAACUCCAAGGCCUGUCCCACAGUCUUCCAGCCUCCGACUCUCCGGCCCUCAGCGAGGAAGUCCCACUGGUUUUUUUGGUUGGUUUUUUUUUUUUUUUUUAAGGUUUUUUGGUUUUUUUUUUUUUUUCUCAUUCCUGUCUUGGGAGCUUUCCCCAACCAGGAGAGUGAAGAUGGGCGGAGCUGUCACACCAACUGUUAGCCUGCCUUGGCUGAGAGGAGAGGAGGCGAGGAGGGAGCGACCACCCAGCUUUAGUCGUUUUAAAACAGCUCCUGACCCUAGAAGAAGGGAAAUGGAGAUGAAGACCCAAUUGACUUGGUAUGAAGUUUAAAUGCCCCUUCAAGACUUGGGGGUCGAGGACGGUGAGAUUGGCUCAGUGGAUAGAUUCACUUGCCUCUAAGCCUGACAACCUAAGUUAAUAUCCUCUACCCACAUAUGGAAGGAAAAAAAUGAUUUCCAAAAGUUGUCCUCUGACCUCCACACAGAGACCAUGGCCUGUGCACCACCCCCCGAAAAUGUAAUAUAUUUUUUAAAAAGACAUGGGGACUUCCAUUCAGUGUCUCCCAAUGUUUGGGGAUUUCCUUUCCUUAUUUCCUUACUCCCUGUCGGUGCCCUAGAGGAGACAGAGAGAGUCUAACUACGGAGAGGUCAUUCUCUAGGUUGGUUGGUGGAAUAUUCAGGACUCCUGGGAAGGCUCCAACUGGUCCCUGAGAGUCCCAGUUUCCUCUAUCACACAGCAGAAGGUGGGGAAUGGCUGCCGUGGUUGGAAGAGCGCGUUGGUGCUGAGGGGGCCAGCUGGUUGAGAAGCAGGUGGAGAGGGAAAGGACCCUGCUUAAGAGGGGGCUGGGUGGGAAGGCUGGGUAAUUUAUGAUAUCAUUGUUCCCGCCCCUCUUCCCAGCCCCCUGCCACUUUACUGUUGCUAGGAGAUCCUGGCUGGCCCUGUCAAAUGGAAAACUCCUCCUCAGCCAGAGUAGGCCCUACCCUGAGUCACAACAGACCCUAAACACACCAGUGUCUCCUAUGAAUCCAUUCAGGUUCAGCCAGCUUGGGCGUGGGACUACCUGACCGAGCAAGUGCUUGUGUGUGUGUGUGUGUGUGUGUGUGUGUGUGUGUGUGUGUGUGUGUGUGUGUGUGAUAUGGAGGGAGCCAGGAGAUAGACUUUGAGGAUGGAGGAGCACUCUGAGGGCCUGCAGGUGACCCUGGGAACCAAGCCUGGGAAGAACCUAAGUUAAUAAUGCAAUCUUUAUCUUAGAGAGAGUGAUCUUUCAGCAGACUGAUCGAACACACAGGCUUCUCAGCCCACUCCCUCCAGUCAAGGUUAAGGCCUGGCAAAGGUGGAGGAAGAGAAGCUGAGGAGAAAAAGGCGAGGAGAGCCUAGGCACAGGAAGGCUUCCCUCCCUCCCAGUGCUGAUUUCCUGUGGACCAGAUUCCAGCACAGUGGAGGGCCAGAGCUCAGGGAACAGACCCAGCAGCACAGCAAGUCUCCAAGGAAAGCUCUAGCAGUCUCCAGGGGCUGAAGGCAGGACUGGGGAAGCGGCUAGCCAGGCUGCAGAAGGCAAAUGCUCCCAGACGGCUGUCCAGCACGCAUCCGCCUUCCUAGCCAAGUUUCCUGGGCUCCUGCCACAGAUCUAAGCCUCAUCCUGACAUCCUGCCCUCUGUGCUCUGGGAUGGCCCAGGGGAGAUGCUUAGCCUUGGCUCCUUGUCUGCUGGUGGAGGGGACACACACCCUUUCUGGACCACAGACCAAAAAGAAGACCUGACGUCAUCCUGAGCACCCCCGCCAUGCAGAGUGUGUUCGCAGACUGCCAACGGGCUGGCUCCGGCCAGCAGAAGUGAACAGAGGUGGAGGUUCAGCCUGACAGCUUCUCCCCAAAGCCAUGGAGAGAAAACCUUACCACCCCCACCGCCCAGCUACUUCCAGCAAGUUGUCCAGCCUGACCCCUCUAUUUCCCCUGUUGUCUCUUAUCUGGGUCCCUGAGACCCACCCCAUCUCCAAUAAAGAACAUUGCAUACUGUGCAUCCACUACUGAACAACAUAGUCACACCAGGCAGGGCUCCCUAAAGCCUACCUGCAUGGCCAGCGUGGUCCGAGGACAGUGUGCUCUCCCCACCCUGUCUGCUAGCCUCCAGCUUCAUGGGAACUCCAUUAAUCAUGGGAUUCCGAGAUCAUCAGAGCAAUAGGAUCACUCCGUCUCCAGGGGAGCACAAGGCAAGAGCCAGAGCGGGACUGUUCUUCAGUCAAGGGGCAGGGGUUGCUGCCUCU